CGUGAGCGGUAGAGGAGCGUCGUAAUCGGGCUGAAGUCGUACCGUAAGGAGCGGUGGACUGAUUACGAGUGAGAAUGUUGGCAUUAGUAGCGAGAUGUAGGCGAGAAUCCUACAGGCCGAAUAUCUAAGGUUUCCUGAGUAAAGUUUGUCUUCUCAGGGUUAGUCGGGACCUAAGGCGAGGCCGAAAGGCGUAGUCGAUGGACAAUUGGUUGAUAUUCCAAUACCACUAUAAUCGUUAUUAUCGAUGGUGUGACGGAGAAGGAUAGGAUGUGCUAGCUAUUGGAUGCUAGUCUAAGCGUUUAGGGAGUUGGGAUUGGCAAAUCCGUUCCAACAAUUCUGAGGCGUGAUGGGGAAGGUUCUACGGAACCGAAGUAUCUGAUUCCAUGCUUCCAAGAAAAGCAUCUAGAGAGAGAAGUAGUGCCCGUACCGCAAACCGACACAGGUAGAUGAGGAGAGAAUCCUAAGGCCGACGGAAGAAUUGCAGUUAAGGAACUAGGCAAAUUGACCCCGUAACUUCGGGAGAAGGGGUGCCUGAGAAAUCAGGCCGCAGAGAAUAGGCACAAGCAACUGUUUAACAAAAACACAGGUCUCUGCUAAAGCGAAAGCUGAUGUAUAGGGGCUGACGCCUGCCCGGUGCUGGAAGGUUAAGGGGAACACUUAGCGAAGUUUCGCGAAGGUGUGAACUUAAGCCCCAGUAAACGGCGGCCGUAACUAUAACGGUCCUAAGGUAGCGAAAUUCCUUGUCAGGUAAGUUCUGACCCGCACGAAUGGCGUAAUGACUUGUGCACUGUCUCAACUGCAAAUCCGGCGAAGUUGUAGUGCGAGUGAAGAUGCUCGCUACCCGCGAUUGGACGGAAAGACCCCGUAGAGCUUUACUGUAGCUUAGCAUUGAAUUUCGGUAUUGUCUGUACAGGAUAGGUGGGAGACUGGGAAACUAGGGCGUCAGCCUUGGUGGAGUCGUUGUUGGGAUACCACCCUGAUAGUAUUGAAGUUCUAACUGGAUGCCAUGAAACUGGUGACAGGACAUUGUUAGGUGGGCAGUUUGACUGGGGCGGUCGCCUCCUAAAAUGUAACGGAGGCGCCCAAAGGUUCCCUCAGAACGGUCGGAAAUCGUUCGAAGAGUGUAAAGGCAGAAGGGAGCCUGACUGCGACACCUACAAGUGGAGCAGGGACGAAAGUCGGGCUUAGUGAUCCGGUGGUACCUCGUGGGAGGGCCAUCGCUCAACGGAUAAAAGCUACCUCGGGGAUAACAGGCUGAUCUCCCCCAAGAGUUCACAUCGACGGGGAGGUUUGGCACCUCGAUGUCGGCUCGUCGCAUCCUGGGGCUGAAGUAGGUCCCAAGGGUUGGGCUGUUCGCCCAUUAAAGCGGCACGCGAGCUGGGUUCAGAACGUCGUGAGACAGUUCGGUCCCUAUCCGUCGCGGGCGUAGGAAAUUUGAGAGGAGCUGUCCUUAGUACGAGAGGACCGGGAUGGACUGACCUAUGGUGUACCAGUUGUUUCGCCAGAAGCAUAGCUGGGUAGCUAAGUCGGGAAGGGAUAAACGCUGAAAGCAUCUAAGUGUGAAGCCCACCUCAAGAUGAGAUUUCCCAUAGCAUAAGCUAGUAAGACCCCUUGAAGACUACAAGGUUGAUAGGUCAGAGGUGUAAGU
rnacentral:rRNA from 1 species